rnacentral:rRNA from 1 species
UUCCGGUUGAUCCUGCCGGACCUGACUGCUAUCGGAUUGAUACUAAGCCAUGUGAGUCAUUGUAGUAAUACAAGGCAGACGGCUCAGUAACACGUAGCCAAUCUAACCUAUGGACGGGGAUAACCUCGGGAAACUGAGGAUAAACCCCGAUAGAUCAUUAUGCCUGGAAAGGUUUAUGGUCCAAAUGAUUCGUCGCCGUAGGAUGAGACUGCGGCCUAUCAGCUUGUUGGUGAGGUAAUGGCCCACCAAGGCUAUUACAGGUACGGGCUCUGAGAGGAGAAGCCCGGAGAUGGGUACUGAGACACGGACCCAGGCCCUAUGGGGCGCAGCAGGCGAGAAACCUUUGCAAUGUGCGCAAGCACGACAAGGUUAAUCCGAGUGUUUCCUGCUAAAGGAAUCUUUUGUUAGUCCUAAAAACACUAGUGAAUAAGGGGUGGGCAAGUUCUGGUGUCAGCCGCCGCGGUAAAACCAGCACCUCAAGUGGUCAGGAGGAUUAUUGGGCCUAAAGCAUCCGUAGCUUGCUCUGUAAGUUUCCGGUUAAAUCCAUUAGCUCAACUAAUGGCCUGCCGGAAAUACUGCAAAGCUAGGGAGUGGGAGAGGUAGACGGUACUCGGUAGGAAGGGGUAAAAUCCUUUGAUCUAUUGAUGACCACCUGUGGCGAAGGCGGUCUACCAGAACACGUUCGACAGUGAGGGAUGAAAGCUGGGGGAGCAAACCGGAUUAGAUACCCGGGUAGUCCCAGCUGUAAACGAUGCAGACUCGAUGAUGCACUGGCUUGUGGCCAGUGCAGUGUCGCAGGGAAGCCGUUAAGUUUGCCGCCUGGGAAGUACGUACGCAAGUAUGAAACUUAAAGGAAUUGGCGGGGGAGCACCACAAGGGGUGAAGCCUGCGGUUCAAUUGGAAUCAACGCCGGUAAUCU